UCGGUUAGGUUCUUUUAACGAAGGAUGCGCGUUAGGUAGAAGUUUUUACUAGGUUUUCUAAAAGGGAAAAGGGCUAAUAAGUAUCUCUUAAAAUCGUUUUUAUAAAUUAUUUGUGUAUAGUGACUAAACAAUAAAGAUUUGGGCACUAUUUUGGAAUAAAAAAAUGCCGUUACUGGCACUGAAGAUAUACGUCGCCCAUUUCUGUUUCAUCUCUUCCGCGGUGAAUGGUCCUUCCUAGGCAAGACCGACAUAUUAAGGCUAUGGAUUCCAGAAAGGCGGCCUUAUAAAGUACCAGCAAGAAGUAGUGCAUCGUUCCAGACUAGAAUCCCUCCACAACUCAAGUGAUGGAUCGCAGAUCGAAUCCAACCAAGGGUAUUACUCAACUAUUAUUACUCGGUAUAAUAAGAUUACUUAUUCAACGGCAUUACUCGUAUUACUCAAGCUGUGUACACCAAAUUACUCCAGCGGCUUACUCCGCGGAACCAACUCAAUCAUCAUGAAAAAUCAAAUCGUACAUGGUUCAAACGAACAAGUUACUACCAGCCAAUGAUCGUGAACAGUAUGCGGUCCCUGCCAGACGAGACGGAAUGAAUAAGGUUGAACGAUUCCAGAAGAGCAGCCUUAUAAAGGU